AAAAAUUCCAUGUAUAGCUACAUAAAAUUUCCUCCCCAACUUACCGUCGUUUUUGCAUUUCUCUACGAACAUAAUGUAAGCCGACAUAACGAUAGUUUCUCCAUCUCUGAAGCAGAAGCUGAAGAACUCCCUCCGCUUCGUUCAACGCCACCCUCCUCCGCCGUCAUCCUCCGAUGAACUCAAUAACCUUCCGAAUUUGAAAAAGAAUAAAGUCUAAACUGUUUAUUUUUCCAUUUGAAAAAAUGAAAGGAAGGUUCCAAGACAUUUACUGCUCUUCUUCAGCUGAUCUUUCUCCUAAUUCUUCAAAAAAAGGAAUUGGUUGAGAACAACUAUGAAAAGCAUAAUUGAGGGAACCUUGUGUUAGCCAAUACUUUAGGUGUCUUGGUUUUCUCUUUAAUCAGAGCUGGAAAAAGAGGGCUGUAUAGAAGAUAUUGGAAUAAAUUAAGCUGGUUUUCAAUUGAUAUUGUAUUGUUGAAUAUUGAAGAUAUUUGAAGGAAGCUGGAGAAGGAGAUAUAUAGACGUGAAGCAGUAAAGAGAAAAAAUGAACAAACAAAAAGAAGGAAAAGGUCAAGUUGACUAAACUGAAGCUGUUUAUUGUAAGUUUGGUUGCAUAAUCCAGGCAAGAACAAGUACGCGGUGACCUUUAUUAUUGAGUAGAAGUAUGUUCUUGUUCUAACCAAUCAAAAUUGUUACAAGUUUCUACAUCAAUUUAUAUCGAUAUAGACUAAUUUUCUCUCU